AUACAGAGGGUGCAAGCGUUAAUCGGAUUUACUGGGCGUAAAGCGCGCGUAGGUGGCUAAUUAAGUCAAAUGUGAAAUCCCCGAGCUUAACUUGGGAAUUGCAUUCGAUACUGGUUAGCUAGAGUAUGGGAGAGGAUGGUAGAAUUCCAGGUGUAGCGGUGAAAUGCGUAGAGAUCUGGAGGAAUACCGAUGGCGAAGGCAGCCAUCUGGCCUAAUACGGACACUGAGGUGCGAAAGCAUGGGGAGCAAACAGGAUUAGAUACCCUGGUAGUCCAUGCCGUAAACGAUGUCUACUAGCCGUUGGGGCCCUUGAGGCUUUAGUGGCGCAGCUAACGCGAUAAGUAGACCGCCUGGGGAGUUCGGUCGCAAGACUAAAACUCAAAUGAAUUGGCGGGG
rnacentral:rRNA from 1 species